AUUGAACGCUGGCGGCAGGCCUAACACAUGCAAGUCGAACGAGUGGCGGACGGGUGAGUAAUGUCUGGGAAAAUGCCCGAUGGAGGGGGAUAACUACUGGAAACGGUAGCUAAUACCGCAUACCAUCGGAUGUGCCCAGAUGUGAUUAGCUAGUAGGUGGGGUAACGGUUCACCUAGGCGACGAUCCCUAGCUGGUCUGAGAGGAUGACCAGCCACUCUGGAAUUUAGACACUGUCCAGAUGCCUACUGGAGGCGGCAGUGGCGAAUAUGGCAAAAUGGUCGCAAUCCGGAUGCAGCCAUGCCGCGUUUAUGAAGAAGGCCUUCGGGUGGUAAAGUACUUUCAGCUAGGAGGCGUUACUCGCAGAAGAAGCACCGGCUAACUCCGUGCCAGCCGCCGCGGUAAUUC
rnacentral:rRNA from 1 species